rnacentral:lncRNA from 1 species
UGGUCCUUUUGGGUUGCCUUCACCAAAGCAACUUGAUUGGAGAAAUAAAUAAAGCGAGAGGUUAUUAUGAUUUAUUAAUAUGUUAUAAGAAUAAUAUAUUAAAGGAGAAAUCAUAUUUGUUUAAUUAAUAUUGGUCAAUAAUUAAUUAAGAAUUAAUUUUGUGAUCAAGUGUAAUUAAUUAAACUAGAGGGGUUGAAUUGUAAUUAUGUGAUAGUUACAAAAUAGGGCAAUGGUUAUCCUUGUUAAAGGAUGGACGAAUUCAAGGAUAAGGAUAUCCUUAAAAUCGUCCAAGGUCCAAAAGAUAGGGAUUUUCAAGGCUUAUCUUAUGGUUGCUUGAUGGGCAAGUAACUAGAUAAGGAUAAGGACUGAAACCCUAAUCCUAACCCUAUAUAAAGACCCCAAGGCUCAUGAAUUCGUCUAAGCCUUCCCAAGAGGUCCUAGAAACGAAUUCAAUACCUCCCCUCUCUCCUUAUACCUUCUCCACUUGCUUAUGGUGUUUGUAAGCCAUUAGAGGAGUGACACUUGUGACUCUAAGCCUUCCAAAGUCAAUUCAAGGAGGAAUUGGGAUUGUUGUUGCUACAUAACAAUCAAGGUAAUAUCAUAAACCUAAUUAUAUGUUAAUAUUGAUUUCCAUAUGCUAGAAUUAGGGUUUAUAGUCUUGGAUUCAAAGCAUGUACAAUAGAGAAACCUAGAUCCAAGCAUUAGGGUUUGUAUGAGCACAUAGGAUGUCUUAUGACCAAAACCCAUCAGUGGUAUCAGAGCCUAGAUUGGUUUCUAUUGUAUUGAUGCUUGAUAUGUUUAAAAAAUUCGAUUUUUGGUGUUCUGCUUGAUGGACUCGGCGAGUCCCACUGUGGACUCGGCGAGUUGCCCCUACUCGGCGAGUUCCAGAGGGUGACUCGGCGAGUCGGUGCGUCAGACAGAGGUAUAUUCGGGAUUUCUUGCUGUUUUUGCUUAUGGAUGGUUACCUUAUCAUGUUAGAUCAAUAUUAAUCCGAUUAUAUGAUAUAUUUGACUAUAUUUUUGAUCUAAUUGAAGAUAUUUAUCAAUUAAUAAGAUAAUUGUUUCCUUAUAAGAUAAUUGAUUAAUUAUUUUGAGUAAAUUGAUAAAUUGUUUUGCAAGAAAUCAUUAAAUAAAUCAAAUAUGGAUAAUUAUGUGAUUAAAUGUUAAUUUAAAUUAUUUGUUAUUUGAUCCUUGUUGUUAUGAAAAGUUUCAUAUUUUGCCCUUUAGGUUUUAUAGUUUAAAUUUGAACCCAAAAGUUUUGUUGUUUUGAAAUUUAAAUAGUUGAAACCCUAAUGUUUUGAAAAAGGUUUCAAAACUUGCCCUCAAGUUUUGGAAUUUAAAUUUUGAUUAAAUGGUUUAAUUUUGAUGUAUAUUUAAAUUGUAAACUCUAAUGUUUGAAAUGUUUCAAAACCUGCCCUCAAGUUUUAAAUUCUAAAACCCUAGUAUUGUUUUGAAAAAGUUCAAAUCACACCCUUAUGGUUUUAUUAAUUAAUUAAGGUGUAUAAUUAAAAGAGGUUUAAUAAAUCCAUAAAAGUUUAGGUUUACAAUUUAAUUGAAUUAAAAGUAUAAUUGUUAAAUUAGACCACCUAGUAUUUUGAAAGUAUAAAAUACACCCUAUACUAUAUAUAACAUUAAAAGUCUAACAUUAUAUAUAUGUAUGAGUAAAAGUCAGUCUUACCGUUAGUAGGCCUCAUUCACGAAGCUGGUCUAUAAGGGGUGUUUAAGGAAAUUGCCUAUAAAAUGGCGAUUGAAUGGGUAUCCACUCUUACCCACCGCACUCUUGACUAGUGGAGGGUCGUUAGCCGAACGGGUAGGAUAGGACGAAACCUUCCAUUAUAAGUAUAAUGAAUUAUUAAAGUAACUAAAUGUUUUCAUAAAAUUCCCAAUCUUAGUUACUUAGGCAAAAGUGAAUUGAUGCAAUUCCAUGAAAUUACACUUUGUGCCCUUGCGAAGACGUUAGUGGAGCGUGUGUGGUUAACCGGCACACUAAAUGGUUCUAAGCAAAGGUAGCAAAGGGUGACUCAAUGUUUGUCAUAGUUCGGUGGAGCGUGUGUGGUUUACCGGCACAUCGAAUAGGUGACUGUAACAUGUGAGGGCACCAUGUAAGUUUGCAUGGUUAUUCACACCCGCUUUGUGAUCCUCGGCAUCCCAGUCACAAACAAGAGGGGCAUAUCGAGAUUUAAACAUGCCAUUGAAAGUUCAAUGAAUCUCAAAGGAUCUAGGAGUUUUCAUAGAUUUAAAACUUAAAUUUCUUUUUCGUUUUUCAUGGUGGAAAUUAGUGAAUCGUCAUUCACUUACCUUCAAAUAUUCUGCAAUUAGGGUUACGGCAUCCCUCUCCCGAGUUGUAGAAUAUUGUGUUGGGUCCUAGCCUUAGUAUCUCAUUUGGGUGAUUUACUAAGGACUCAAUCAAUCAACUAACUUGAAUUCGUUUUCUCCCGUUUUGUAGAUGUCAAAGUUCGACAACUAUGGUCUUCCCAAAUCCCGUGGAACAAGCAUUCCACAUGAAGAUGAUAUUCCACGAUUCGAUCGAGGAACAAGAAAUCAUGCUUCACUUCCUCCUCCUCCUCCAAUUAUUCUCCCUAACCCACAAGUUCAAAGGCUUGAAAAGUUCAAGAUCACUCAAGCCCUUUUGGCAAGUAAACAUAAAGAAGGAAAGUCGGUGUGUGCACACGUCCUAGGGAUGAAGUCACACAUUGAUAGGUUAAGAAUGUUGGGAUCCGUUGUCUGUGAGGAAAUGGCUGUUGAUUGGGUUCUUCAGUCACUUCCUAACUCAUAUAGUGAGUUCGUAAGAGAGUACUAUAUGAUGAACCGCGACGUGACCCUUAUAGAUCUCACCUAUAUGCUUAUUGCUGCUGAAUCAGCAAUGGUUUGGCGCAAUAGAAAAGCAAAGUUGAUUGGUGAAUCUGCCUUCAAGACCUCUAUGGAUAUAGACAAUGGCAACGAAAGACAUGCUAUGAUCGAAAAGUUUGAUCAUAAGAGAAAGGCAAUGUCUGAAGUAGUUCCAUGUCAUGUUCCAAAAGAGUCAAUUUGCUUUUAUUGCCAAGAGAAAGGGCAUUGGAGACGAAGCUGCCCCAUUUACCUAAGAGAUCUAAGAGAUGGGAGAGUCGAAACGUAUGGCUCUAAUAUAGGUAAAAUCCAUUAACUAACUCUUUUAAGCUUCUAUUCUAGAUUCUUAAUACAUAAUGUGAUAAGAUUACAAUUGAUGUUUUGUAGGAUCGAAGAAAAGAAAGGAAGCUUAAGGGAAGAAGUGAGCAGAAUCUAACCGUGAAGGAAUGGAUUUCGAUCGCAUUUCUCGAAGAUUAGAUUCUUGAGCUACUACUUAGAGUUAGAAUUAGAUUGCUAAGAAAGAUGUAUUAGCAUAGUUUUUCAAUGAAUUGCAUUGUAAGGACAAAUUUUUUCCGCAAUAAAAUAAAUUUUGAUUUUAUAUUAUUUAUUUAUCCUUGCAAUGGCGUAUAUGAAAAAUUGAUGUUUGAAUGUUUCUAUUAUUAGCAAUAAUGGAUUUGGUUCUUAUUAUGUUAUUUAUGGAAAGUCGAGAAUUUACCAAAUAGGGAGAGUUUCUCAUCGCCCAAGUUUCAAUUGGACAGAAACUUGGAAUCAUGCAACUUGGUUGCACGAUGAAUGAGAAAUUUCAUAUUUGGAAAUUAGACUAAUUCAUUGACAAAGUGUCAAGUGAAGGACUAGGAGAUCGAGUACACAAAGUUGCGUGUUGAUCAAGUCCACCAUAAGAGUAACAAAGAUAUUCGUCAUGAUUUACUAAAGGUUUAGUAAAUAUGAUUAUACUUACAAGAUUAAGUGUAAUUCUGAAUUGAUUGAAAAAGUUUAAAUCAAUAGCAGAACGAAUAAGAAGAAUCAAGUAGGCAGAAAGAUAAAAGUUUCUCCAUUCUAAGAAGAAGGGAGAGUACCUUUUAUGCUUUAUGAUAGGUCUUAAUGAUUAAGAACCAUAUCUCAAUUGAUCCUCUAAGUGAGUCUUAGUACAAUUGUAUGUCUAAGAAGAGGAAUCAAGAAUUGAAGAAAUGGUUAAAUCAAGAAGUCAAUCAUACUUCGUUCCAAAACAAGUCUUAGAGUUAAGAUUGUGACAUUGAGUGAAAAGUAUUAAGAAGGUUUAUAACAUUCAUCAAAUGUGGAAAGUUGUGAUGUCUUGGAUAAGACAAAGACCAACUAGGACCAAUUUAUGAAGUGUUUUGAUAAAAGCUACACUAACUCUUGAAUAUUUGUUUGUCAAGAAAUGUUUAUUGACAAGAGAAUCUUAUAUGUCAAGGAGUCAGUGGGAGUCUUAAUGGUCUUGAAAGGUUUCAAGAACAAAUCAAAUAAACCUUAUCGAUCAUCACUAGCACACGAGUUGAGGUUUACAACCUAUCGUGUUGACAUUAUUUUGUUUCUGUGCCAAUCCAAUCGAGUUAAUUAUGCAUGUGAGUUCUAUGAGUUCUCAUUUUGAACGCAUAAAAGGCAAAGCACCUUAAUCAAUGAAAGGUACAUUGAUAGGAAAGGGUGAGCUGCUUAACUACUUGGAAGACAUGGUGGGCAGCUGUGCUACCAUAAGGCAAGAAAUCAAGAUUAAGAAAGUUCGGUCCAUAUGAGUUUGAAUUUGUCGUAAACUUUGGUUUUAACAAAUUCACAUGGAUAGGAACACAUACACCGUUUAAAUCUAAGUGUCAUAAGAUUUCCUCCUUCAUGAAAAUGAUUGUGAGGAAAUGCUUUCACUAAGAAAGAUUUUAAGAAGAUAGUGAUUGUAAAAUUGCAUUCUCGAAUUCGAUUAUGGUUACGGUAUCCCUUUCCAUAAUUUGAAUUGUGAGGUUUGGCAAUUAGUCUUAAUUGUUUAGACACACAUAUGAACUAUCGAAGGCAAAGGUGUAUAAGUUCAAGAAGCCUUGAUAAAAGAUUAUCAAAGCACUAAGUAUUAGAAACAUGAACUUAAGAAAUUCAAUAAGUAUUGUUUUUCUGAAAGUUAAGAUGUUUAUGAAUACAUGUCGAAGCUAGUGGGAGCAUAAGUGUUAUGUUUUAUAAUAAUCAUCAUGAUAGUGGGAGCAUAAAUGUUAUGAUUGUAUGAUUAUUAAGGCACGUAUUGCAAGUUGGCAAUAUUAAUUAUAGAAAACAAGAGUUAUACCUUGCAAAGUCGUAAGGGUUGUAAAGUUGUUUUGCUAUAAUUAAGGGAGAGAAUAUUAUGCUUCAUUUCAAAUCUAAAGGAUUAGGUUGAGAAAUGUUAAUAAAUUUAGUCAAAGGUACAUAGUGUGUUCUUAAAAUUUCGAUUAUGAUUACGGCAUUCCUCUUCACAAUUCGAAUUUUGAGAACAUAGCAAAUAAAACAUUAUGCGUCGUGUCCCAUACGCUUCGGGUAUAGGAUCGAUUGCAAAUGCUUUAAUGUUUGACCAUUCUAAAAUUUUCCAAAUGUCGAGCGCAUUUAGAGGGAAAAGGGACUAGAAUUGGUUUUGACUAAAAUAAUUAAACAACUAUCAAAGGACAAUCCAAAGUUCGACGAGGAUUGGUCGCUUGUGAGUAGUUGGAAGCAUGGUAUUGGAUGGACCAUAUCGACAUUAUUAUGAAUAGAAAAGAUUCUAUUAAGAAUGAGUUGUCAUAUGGAAAUUAUGGAAAUGUUUCCAUAUUGGAUGGACCAUAUCGACAUCAUUACGAAUAGAUAAGAUUCUAUUAAGAAUGAGUUGUCAUAUGGAAAAUAUGGAAGCGUGUCCAUAUUGGGAAUUGAAUAUUGAAAAUCUAUGUCUAGAUUAGAAACUUUUAUGCAAAAGGAUGUUCAAAGGAAUGUACUUUGAGUGAGAGACAUCAUAUCUAAGGAAUUGUCUUGUAACAAUCUCCGAUAGAGGACUUUGUAAUAUCAUUGGCAAUAGUCUUUGUGACUUUGGUGCAGUGACAUUACGAAAGGAUCAUUGCAUAGAAUGUUAGAAUCUAGCAUAUUUUAUAAGUAACAAGAAUUUGAUAUUCUCACACUUAUGAAAAAGGAUUUGGAGUUGUGAAAUGAGAAUGAUUGGAAAUGUGUUCAAUUUGAUCUAUUUCACAAAAGUAAGAACCAUAGGUAAACAUUGUGUGCAUGCUAAGAGCAUGGGACAAGUGUAAUAAUUCAAGUAAGAAGUUGAUUACCCGAAACGACAAAUAAUGAGUAAUCGAUAUGGUGAUAAAUAAAAGGUGUUUUAUUUAUACUCAAAGGUUUGAGGCCAUAUGGGAUUAGUAUUAUUCUUGUGUUUCACAUUUGCAUGUUUUGACUUCCAGAAUAAUUGAGUUUAUUAAGAAUAAUCGAAUUAUUCGAACGGGCCACAGUCGUUCAUAUGUUGGAAGUAGAUAUGAAUGAAGAUUGUCGUGAAUUGGUGUGUGGAUUGUCUAAAAGAGUAUUAGACAUAAGCAAAUGUUUGCUGCAACGUUCAUGAGUGCUUAUGAAUAUGAUUUGAGCAUUGGAUUAAACCCACGCUCACUUGGAUCACUCCAUGAAUUGUAUCACGAGUGAUUGGUGAGACGAUAACAUCUUAUAUUCUUGAAACCGAGAUGUGUGAGUUGUAUCUUGCAAAUCGGUUGCACAUUGAUAAUAUGUAAACGCACUAGUAACUUGGUGUUAUAAAACAUAUUGUUGUGUGUGAUUCGGUUAGUAAGUGACAGCAAGCAUUUUAUCAAAGUUUAUCCGUUCCUUUUAUCCAAGGUAGGAUAAAAGCGAUAUCUUUGGGCCCCUCGAUGGUUUUGUGACAACAAACGUAAAUGCUUGGCCGGGCUAGGGCUAAUUUGAUUUGUUCAAUUAGUCAGUUGUCAUAAAUCGGAAGUCGAGAAAUAGUACAAAGAGAAUGAUUUGAAAUCAUGUCUUAUACGAUAUCUAGAAUGCAGGAAUAUAUGAUCCCUUAUCUAAGGACACGCGUAUCUGAUAGGAUCAAAGUUGAUAGCGGCUUUGGAAAGCUACAAUUGCAGAUUAGGAUCUGAAGUCAUACGCAUAAUAGUUACUAGACUUAUCUAAGUGGGAGACUGUUGGAUUAGUGUCUAAGUCCAUAACUAUUUUGGUAUGUACUUGACCCGAUGGUGCAUGGUCCUUUUGGGUUGCCUUCACCAAAGCAACUUGAUUGGAGAAAUAAAUAAAGAGAGAGGUUAUUAUGAUUUAUUAAUAUGUUAUAAGAAUAAUAUAUUAAAGGAGAAAUCAUAUUUGUUUAAUUAAUAUUGGUCAAUAAUUAAUUAAGAAUUAAUUUUGUGAUCAAGUGUAAUUAAUUAAACUAGAGGGGAUGAAUUGUAAUUAUGUGAUAGUUACAAAAUAGGGCAAUGGUUAUCCUUGUUAAAGGAUGGACGAAUUCAAGGAUAAGGAUAUCCUUAAAAUCGUCCAAGGUCCAAAAGAUAGGGAUUUUCAAGGCUUAUCUUAUGGUUGCUUGAUGGGCAAGUAACUAGAUAAGGAUAAAGACUGAAACUCUAAUCCUAACCCUAUAUAAAGACCCCAAGGCUCAUGAAUUCGUCUAAGCCUUCCCAAGAGGUCCUAGAAACGAAUUCAAUACCUCCCCUCUCUCCUUAUACCUUCUCCACUUGCUUAUGGUGUUUGUAAGCCAUUAGAGGAGUGACACUUGUGACUCUAAGCCUUCUAAAGUCAAUUCAAGGAGGAAUUGGGAUUGUUGUUGCUACAUAACAAUCAAGGUAAUAUCAUAAACCUAAUUAUAUGUUAAUAUUGAUUUCCAUAUGCUAGAAUUAGGGUUUAUAGUCUUGGAUUCAAAGCAUGUACAAUAGAGAAACCUAGAUCCAAGCAUUAGGGUUUGUAUGAGCACAUAGGAUGUCUUAUGACCAAAACCCAUCAGUUAUGUGAUUAUAUGUAUGGCAUGUGGUAGUCUGGGGAGACUCACUAAGCUUCGUGCUUACAGUUUUCAGUUUUGGUUUCAGGUACUUCUAGUGGUAGAGGGAAGAGCUCGGGAUGACUGGAUUGCACACACCAUGAUGAUUUAGCCUGGGAUGAUUACUCUAAUGUUUUGAUAUGAUACUCUGAUAACGUUUUGAAAUACUUGACUUAUAUUUUGAUGAACUGGUUGAUAAAUA